CGCAGCGUAGUGGUUACGUCUGCCUGCGACGCAGAAGGUUCCGGGUUCAAUUUCCGGUGAUGUCA